rnacentral:sRNA from 1 species
GCCCAGCCCCAGGUUCCCUGUGGGGUUGCCACGAGCCUCCACCCGCCCGCCUGCUGGCGGGCUCCAUGACGGCCCCUUACGCAACCACGAGCGGGCGGUGCCCUUCCCGACCCAGGUGGUGCGGGAGAAGCUGCGCAAGUACGUCUUCGACCGCGUGAACAUGCACAACCUACUGAUCCACCUGGUGCGGCGGCGCGGGAAGAAGCUGGAGAGCAUGCAGCUGGAGCUGGCCAGCCUGCGGAGCCAGCCAGACGCCAGCAAGGAGGAGCUGCGGUUGCUGCAGAUCAUCCGCCAGCUGGAGAAUAACAUCGAGAAGACAAUGGUCAAGAUCAUCACCAGCCAGAACAUCCACCUGCUGUAUCUGGAUCUGCUGGAUUAUCUGAAGACAGUGAGCCCAGCGGUCCGGGAAGGGCGGGGGUCCGGGGCUGGGAUCUGGGAGGGCCGGGAGCGUCCUGGGGCGGAGCCGCCCCGCACCCGCCAGGGAGAGGGAGCUCUGCCCGACCACCGGCUACGCAGGACGCCGAGGCAUGUGGAAAACGUUUUUAUAAACUUCAUUUUUGGCUAUUCCAAAAAAGCAUAUCGCGAAGUAUAUCAGAAUUCUUUGGACUUUCUUGCACGUAUUAAAUGAUUUAGUAUCGUUUGUA